UACAGAGGUGGCAAGCGUUGUUCGGAAUUACUGGGCGUAAAGGGCGCGUAGGCGGCCAUCUAAGUCAGACGUGAAAUCCCCCGGCUUAACCUGGGAACUGCGUCUGAUACUGGACGGCUCGAGUUUGGGAGAGGGAUGUGGAAUUCCAGGUGUAGCGGUGAAAUGCGUAGAUAUCAGGAGGAACACCGGUGGCGAAGGCGGGUCUCUGGGCCGAUACUGACGCUGAGGAGCGAAAGCGUGGGGAGCGAACAGG
rnacentral:rRNA from 1 species